UGCACCUCUAUUUCUGGUGUUAAUUAAAACCCCCUAACUUUUGCUUUAUACGGUUAAGUUGGGGUUGGUUUAUACAAAUGAACGGGUCCAUCCAACCCUUACAUUGGGCCUUGGCUUUUGAACCAAACUGAUCUAACAAACAAACCCGACCCGAUCUCAGUUUGUGCGUUCUUUUCACGAGUAGCUGAUCUAGGGUUUCGAAUCCUCUCUAUCUAUAUAAACACAACACAGGGUCUCAAGAUUCUUCAUCUUCUUCCAAAUCUUUCUUCUCUUCAAAACAGCCUUCUAGUUUUUGGGUUUUAGCUUUUUCUUCUCGAGUCUUGAUCUGAAUUAUUUAAUGUAUGUGUCUAUCUGCACGAUGCUACCCCGGGCUUCUCUGAAGCUCAUGAUGAAGAAGAAAGCCCCAAAGCUUGUGCUAUACCGACGCUGUUAAGUGUUGCAGUUUAGCCCUUCUCCCACGGCUGAUCUGUGUCAAAUCAACCGCAAUAUUCUUAUACAUAGUUGUGUAUUAUGUUGUGUGUCUCUCCUCACCUUUAGCUCUUUUUCGAUAGAAAUAUUACUCCAAAAUUAUUUUAGUCAUAGAUGCAAAUGAUUAUUCUGCCGGUGCUACACUUUGGUAUAUCUUUUCAAUGGUUUUUGUCUCUGAUUAUUCCUGCUUUGAACAUUAUCACUUCCGGCGAUGAUUAAUUAUUUAUCCGCGCUUCUGAGAGUGAUCUAUGAAGCAGAAUAAAUAAAUGGUUGAAUUUCUUAAUAUGAGCCAGUUUUUUUUAAUGCAUUUUGUUGUUUCAAAGGAAUGUUUUUUGAAUUGAUUCUGGUGAAAUAGUAUUGGCAAUGAGGAUUAUAAUUCAGCUUUAAAUGCCAGUUCUGCUUCAGAAAAUUCUUGAUUGAUAGAGCUGUUCUAUAUUCUGAGCCUGUAAUUCAAUGGAUUCCUUUUCAAUGCUUAAAGCUUUUGGACUUGAUGCAUGCCUUGUUUGGUUGAAUAUUCUAUUUAAUGUUGUUUUGAUCAAUGAAUUGAAGUUGAUGAUGAUUUAACCUAGUAGUUGAGGUGUAGCUGGCUCCGAUUCCCUGUUUAAGGGAGAACCUACUCGGGUCCACUAUACUAUUAGUGAAAUUAAGGGAUUUAUCUGAGACUGUUAUUUGCUUUUGAUUAAAAAUUACGGCCCUGCUUGUAAUAUUCUAUUUGAUUAAGGCCUUUCAUCUUGAAUUGUCAAGAUUAAGAUACAAGUGCAUUUUUGAUUUCACUCAAAAUGCCUGUGAUGAUACAAUCCGAUUUAUUUGAGGUGUAGUGGAGCCAAGCCCUGUUCUACAGGGGAACCUACUUGGCAGAAGCUGCAAGGCAUUGAUAUUAUUGGAUUCAACUGAGGCUGCAUAUUUGUCUACAAGUAGUUGUAGGUUGAUGGGUUUCUCGAAUUCUGAGGUUAAACUUUGAUAAUUGUGUAUGAAUUGAGUUUUAACUAUACUCUAUAUCCUCUGUAGUGGGUGUAGGGUCUGAAAAACUCAGAUAUGGAUGUGUUGUCAUCAGCUUCUUCUCUGGUAUAUUCACGAGAUUGGAGUUAAACUAACAGCACCACAAUUCUUUAAAUUAUAAUUAUCAUCUAGAAUCUAUUAUUUUAUGAAAUCAGUUUUUGAUAUUGAAUGGCUGCUUGCCUUUUCCCUAUUUGGUUACAGUAUGGUGAUCUAACAAUAUUUUUAAUCUUUGUGGCUACAGAAUUCCUGGCGGUAUUCAAAACUGAUGCAAUACUGUUUCUAAACUUCAACAAGAUUCUUACUAAAUUGCUAUUUCGGUUGGAACUUGAUCUUUAAGGCUGCAGUUUGAUGAGUUGAGCCAAUUCAGCUUGGUGUUCUUUUAUACUCGACUUGGAAAUGAGAUUGGAGUGAAAUUAUGGUCGCUUGAACUCAGUAAAACCAGGUUUGUCAUGUUUUCAAGUGAUGCCGAUGGAGAAUCACCAAAGCAUCCACUAUCAUUCAAAUAUAUAUAUAGCAUUGAAGAAGAAGAUUUGCAUAGUGCCAAGAAGAAUAGGAAGUUAAAAAAAGAUGGGUAGUCGAAAACAAGUAAGUGAGAUGGUGCCUUUCUUUCAUAUUUGGACUACCACUCUUUUCUCAUUCAACCGUGUCACCAGAAUAAUUAAAAAUGAAGAAGGUGUGGAUGUUAUAAUUU